rnacentral:rRNA from 1 species
CCUACGGGGGGCAGCAGUGGGGAAUAUUGGACAAUGGGGGGAACCCUGAUCCAGCCAUGCCGCGUGUGUGAAGAAGGCCCUCGGGUUGUAAAGCACUUUCAGUGAGGAAGAACGCCUGGUGGUUAAUACCCAUCAGGAAAGACAUCACUCACAGAAGAAGCACCGGCUAACUCCGUGCCAGCAGCCGCGGUAAUACGGAGGGUGCGAGCGUUAAUCGGAAUUACUGGGCGUAAAGCGCGCGUAGGUGGCUUGAUAAGCCGGUUGUGAAAGCCCCGGGCUCAACCUGGGAACGGCAUCCGGAACUGUCAAGCUAGAGUGCAGGAGAGGAAGGUAGAAUUCCCGGUGUAGCGGUGAAAUGCGUAGAGGUCGGGAGGAAUACCAGUGGCGAAGGCGGCCUUCUGGACUGACACUGACACUGAGGUGCGAAAGCGUGGGUAGCAAACAGGAUUAGAUACCCUAGUAGUC